GCUCAGGUGCUCGCCGGGUCAGCGUCUUCCUCCGGGCAUCCCUAGUCUCCUCCCACUGCUGCGGGGACGCCGGCGGCCUUUGCCGAGUAUGUGCCGCGCCUCGGGUUCUGAGGCGGACGCGUCCCGCACGUCAGGUCCCUCCCGAGCUGGAGGCGCUGGAUUCGCACCUUGUGAGGAAGAGCGAGCCGAGGCUUCAGCCACUGCCGCGGGCCCAGACCCCGCCCGCCGCGUCGCUCCCAGGGUCUUCCCGGGCCUGAUCGGGGUUCAGCAGGACGCGGUUCCCGCCAGGACCCACUUACGGAGCGCAGCCUGCUGCACCUGGGGACGCUCCGGCGCAGCGUCCAGCGUGCAGGCUUUGCCGCUGUGGCUUUCACUCUGCAGCGUGGGCCCGGGCGAUUCGGGAAGCCCGCCUGGGCUUCAGCGCCUCCGAUGUAGGAUGGGAAAAUGAUGCAGACCUACCUGCGAGGCUGCUUUAAGAUAUGAAUCAGAUGUGAAGAGUGACUAGUUGAGAACCUGACGGGCGGCCCUGCAGAAGUCUUGGUCAUUUCAUUCUUUCCGCAAGUUUUGUUUUGUUUUGUUUUGUUUUCCCAGACGUUGUUUCACUCUCGUCGCCCAGGCUGGAGUGUAAUGGCGCCAUCUCGGCUCACUGCAACCUCUGCCUCCGGGUUCAAGUGAGUCUCCUGCCUCAGCCUCCCGAGUAGCUGGGAUUACAGGCGCACGCCACCUAGUCCAGCUAAUUUUGUAUUUUUAGUAGAGACGGGGUUUCUCCAUAUUGGUCAGGCUGGUCUUGAACUCCCGACCUCACGUGGUCUGCCCGCCUCGGCUUCCCAAAGUGCUGGGAUUACAGGCGUGAGCCACUGCGCCCGGCCUCAGCAAGCAUUUUUAAACACCUACUGUGGGCCAAGUCUUGUGCUAGAUGUUGUAUUUACGGAGAUGAAUAGAGACACCUCUAAUUAAUGAAAGAGGAUGCUCUCCCCACUCCUCCCAGGGUUUGACUUGGCGCAAAAACUCUUCACAAACCAGAAUGACAGGACACCAUCGCCAGUGUCCACUGGCCACCGUUGUUGGUGUGAGGCAGCCAGGAGCCCCUCAGAACUGAUAAGUCUGAGAAGAGACUGCACAGGAGAGGGAGAAAUGAGCCCGUCCAAGGUGAAUUCCUUGAUUCUCCAUUGUGAGUGCACUAAGAACAAGCACUGCCUCCGACUGACUUUCUCGCCUGCCAGGAUCUGGUACACCUUCCAUUAAUUUAUUAGUUCAUUCAAUAAAUAUUUAUUGACUGAUUACACAUAAA
rnacentral:lncRNA from 1 species